AUUGAACGCUGGCGGCAGGCCUAACACACGCAAGUCGAGCGAGCGGCGGACGGGUCAGUAAUGUCUGGGAAACUGCCUGAUGGAGGGGGAUAACUACUGGAAACGGUAGCUAAUACCGCAUACCCUCAGAUGCGCCCAGAGGGGAUUAGCUUGUAGGUGAGGUAACGGCUCACCUAGGCGACGAUCCCUAGCUGGUCUGAGAGGAUGACCAGCCACACUGGAACUGAGACACGGUCCAGACUCCUACGAGAGGCAGCAGUGGGGAAGAUUGCCCAAUGGGCGCGAGCCUGAUCCAGCCAGGCCGGGUGUAUGAAGAAGGCGUUCGGGUUGUAAAGUACUUUCAGCGAGGAGGCGUUACCCGCAGAAGGAGCACCGGCUAACUCCGUACCAGCAGCCGCGGUAAUUC
rnacentral:rRNA from 1 species